UACAGAGGUCUCAAGCGUUGUUCGGAUUCACUGGGCGUAAAGGGUGCGUAGGUGGCGAGGUAAGUCGGAUGUGAAAGCUCGGAGCUCAACUCCGAAAUGGCAUUGGAAACUACCUUGCUCGAGGGUUGGAGGGGGGACUGGAAUGCUUGGUGUAGCAGUGAAAUGCGUAGAUAUCAAGCGGAACACCAGUGGCGAAGGCGAGUCCCUGGACAACUCCUGACACUGAGGCACGAAAGCUAGGGGAGCAAACAGG
rnacentral:rRNA from 1 species